rnacentral:rRNA from 1 species
AACGAACGCUGGCGGCAUGCCUAACGCAUGCAAGUCGAACGAGAUCUUCGGGUCUAGUGGCGCACGGGUGCGUAACGCGUGGGAAUCUGCCCUUUGGUUCGGGAUAACAGUUGGAAACGACUGCUAAUACCGGAUGAUGACGAAAGUCCAAAGAUUUAUCGCCAGAGGAUGAGCCCGCGUAGGAUUAGCUAGUUGGUGUGGUAAAGGCGCACCAAGGCGACGAUCCUUAGCUGGUCUGAGAGGAUGAUCAGCCACACUGGGACUGAGACACGGCCCAGACUCCUACGGGAGGCAGCAGUGGGGAAUAUUGGACAAUGGGCGAAAGCUUGAUCCAGCAAUGCCGCGUGAGUGAUGAAGGCCUUAGGGUUGUAAAGCUCUUUUACCCGGGAUGAUAAUGACAGUACCGGGAGAAUAAGCUCCGGCUAACUCCGUGCCAGCCGCCGCCGUAA